UUGAGUUUGAUCAUGGCUCAGAUUGAACGCUGGCGGCAGGCCUAACACAUGCAAGUCGAGCGGCAGCACGAGAAAGCUUGCUUUCUUGGUGGCGAGCGGCGGACGGGUGAGUAAUACAUGGGAAUCUGCCCGAUAGUGGGGGACAACGUUUCGAAAGGAACGCUAAUACCGCAUACUUCCUACGGGAGAAAGCAGGCUUAGGCUUGCGCUAUCGGAUGAGCCCAUGUCGGAUUAGCUUGUUGGUGAGGUAAUGGCUCACCAAGGCGACGAUCCGUAACUGGUCUGAGAGGAUGAUCAGUCACACCGGAACUGAGACACGGUCCGGACUCCUACGGGAGGCAGCAGUGGGGAAUAUUGGACAAUGGGGGCAACCCUGAUCCAGCCAUGCCGCGUGUGUGAAGAAGGCCUUCGGGUUGUAAAGCACUUUCAGCGAGGAGGAAAGCAGUAAGGUUAAUACCCUUAUUGUGUGACGUUACUCGCA
rnacentral:rRNA from 1 species